rnacentral:rRNA from 1 species
AAUGAACGUUGGCGGCGUGGAUUAGGCAUGCAAGUCGAGCGCUCAUCAGCAAUGGUGGGAGCGGCGAACGGCGUAGUAAUGCAUCGGAACGUACCCUCUGGACGGGGAUAGCCACGGGAAACUGUGGGUAAUACCCGAUAAUCUCUGCGGAGCAAAGGUGUGAUUCCGCCGGAGGAGCGGCUGAUGUGAUAUUAGCUAGUUGGUGGGGUAAAGGCCUACCAAGGCGAUGAUGUCUAGGGGGUGUGAGAGCAUGGCCCCCACGACCGGAACUGAGAUACUGUCCGGACACCUACGGGUGGCUGCAGUCGAGAAUCUUCCGCAAUGGACGAAAGUCUGACGGAGCGACGCCGCGUGCGGGAUGAAGGCCCUUGGGUUGUAAACCGCUGUCAGGGGGGAUGAAAGCGCAAGCUUGACAGAGCCCCAGAGGAAGCACGGGCUAAGUUCGUG